GCUGAGUCCAUGAUGAUUUCAAGUUAUCCCUGUCUGAAGGCAAAGAAAGGCCUUUCUGUGUGGAAUUUGAAUAUCUGAAACUCAGU
rnacentral:snoRNA from 1 species